rnacentral:lncRNA from 1 species
CCAAUCUCCCUUGGUUAGGUCGGAGCCAGUGGGUUGUGGACAGAGGUGACACAGGCCACCUCCAGACCUUGCCUCAGAGCCUCUGAUGGGACUGUUGGCAUUCUCUACUCCUCUUCUACAGUGACGGAGGUGACCACUAGUGUAAGAUGGAGGAGCCCGAGGAUGUGGGGAGCCUGGAUCCCGGAGCCACCGCUAGGAGGACAGCUGCCGGGAAGAGCUGCUGGGCCACGUGUGCUGAGGGUUGCAGGAAGUAGCUCGAGGCGUUGCCGAUGGAGCAGCCGUGACUUUGCUGCCGGCUUGUCCUGCUCCCUUGCAGACGUGGGGCUGCGGUGGCGCGUUUGAGGUCCGCCCCUGCCGCUGGAGUCAGAGCUGCGCCCUCUCUCUUACUGAGUGCUGGUCCACGUAUGACGGACGGGUGACGGAGUGUUUAUCCAGCUUCCUGCUGAGGGACACCUGGUUGUCCCCAGUUUUUGGCGAAUGUGAGGGAAGCUGCUAGGAACGUCCCGGAGGACAUGGUGCUUGGGCCCUACAACGCCCGGAGGAGCUGCCGGGAUGCCGAGCGCCUUGCAAGGGAACCGGAGCCAGAGUGAUGGGCGUCCUGGGGGCUCCUGGUGUGGAAAGGGCCUCUGUCGGCCGCCUGCUGGCAGCUGCUUUGUCUCCCUCCACUGGUUCUCUGCUCUGACUCCAUUUCUAAGGCUUUUCUUAAAUCAGCCCCUGGCAGGUGAGAUGGCUUGGAGUUUUAUGAGAUUUUACACUCCCCAGAGGUGAAUAAUAGGGACUUUUCAUCACUGAGUUUCCUGACAACACCUUCCAUUGAACCAUCAAUUUCCGAACAACACCUGGGAUAUGCAAACUCUGUUUUCAAGCACGUCCUGGGGCUGGGAUACGUGACAAGAGGUGGAGGGCGAGUUUCCUGAGAAAAAAAUCAGCCGUGCGUUUUGGGUACAUAAAAGACAGGUUGAGGUUUCUUUUCAUGGGAAGGAGGUGGGGGGACUGAGGGGGGAGAUAUUGAAACCCACCAGCCGUGAAAGAGUGGAGAGAGGAGAGAGCAGGAGAUGAAGAGGAGAAAGUGAAGUGAGAGGGAGAACGAGCGAGAGAGCGAGCGGGAGACGGAGACGACCGGCUAAUCAAAGAGGCAGGUACAGGAGGUGAAAUGCUUUCACAGGAGGCGCAGGAGGGUCUGUCUCAAUGGAGGAUGGCAAGUGGUUGUGGAUGCUGUGUGAGUCUCCGACAACAUGCGUCACACUGCUGCACACAAACCGUUCACGUCUGUGCUCACUGGACGUCGGUUCCGGGCCCAAGUUGGGGCCUCUUGCCACCCCCUCUACCUGGCCCCAUCUGCCUACCAGGUGGGGACCCCUCCCCCGUUAGGCGAGGCUUUGUCACGAGCGGCCAGUUCCAGCAGGGGCGGCCACCCCUCCUCCCCUCACCCCUGCCCAGGUGGCUGCUGAGUCCAGGCAGCAAGCGCUUAAUUGAGAGACAUACGAACUGGAGGAUGUCAGGAGGGUGGGAAAGCAAGAUGCCCAGGGCCUGGGCCCCAGGAAGUAAAGGAAGCAGAGAGAAGAGCGGGAUGAGAGAACCAAGUCUGGGCGCCCUUCCUGCCCCUGGGGUCCUCCUCGCUCUCGGGAGGCCCCUCCAGCUUCCGUGGCUGGGCCGGGCUGUUGGUGGACCCAGCAGCAGAAGGAGGGCAGUAAGUCGUAGCCGAGGGAUGGGGCAGCCAGAACGGGUGAGGCUGCAGUGAGCAGAGACCUGGCCGUAGCCAGGAAGGAGUCCAGGGUCUGCAGGGGAUGAGUUGCGAAGCUCAGCCCUGGGCUGCGUGUGGGAGGAGCUGGCGUCCAGGUCCUGGUGAUGCUGAGCUGGGCGGGGCCCCCCUUGCACCUGGAUUUGAUAUGAGUUACAGAGGAUGCCUGGUUCCCUUAUCUACCAACGUGUGCCGUUCAUGCUGUGGGCACGCAUGUGGCUUGCGUCAGCUCUAUUUCUGGCCAUUUCAGUUCUAGUUUUCUCCUACACACAUUGGUGCAAACUGGGGAACAGAAAGACGUUUUCUGCUCUCUAACUCACGUUCCCUACAAAAUGGUGUUUCCUGGGAGUAGCUUCUUGUGGGCGCGUUCUCCAGCAGAGACGGGCUGGCUUAUAAAGUGAGACUCCAGGGACACUGGCUGUGUGGCAAAGAACUUAACCUUGUCUAGGGAGAGGUCUGGCCUUUGCCUUCAGCCCUGGAAGGUAAUCUCCAAACCCUUGGAAGGUCCUGGUCUCUGUUUGCCUGGGGGCUCUGGGUCACACUGACAAAGUGAUUUAAGGUGGGGCUCAGGGUCACGUGGUAUCAACUCAACCUCUAGAGGAGCUGGAGACCGAGGUCAGCCUCCUGGGCACCAAACGGGCCUCCUUGGUGAACCCCAAUAAAGGCUCUGGACACCAAGACUCGGGGACCUUCCUGCCUGGCAAUGCUCCGUGGGUGUCGUCACACAUGGAUGCCAGGGAUGCGAUGCUGUCCUGACUCCAUGGAGGGAGCAAAACAGAAUCCCUGCAUGUUGUAUUUUCCUGGGCUCUUCGGUUGACUUUACUCCACGUCUUUUCACUGUAAUAAACCAUAACUGUGAACAUAGCAGAUUUCCUGAGCUCUGUGAGUCCUGCUAGCAAAUUGCCAAACCUGGGGGUGGUUUUGGGGACUCUCGAACCUGCACCUGGUGUCAGAAGCGAGGGUGGCCUGUGCAUGGUUUCCUGACUUCACACGGGCACCGUAGGGUGUUCCCUCGGUCUCUGCACCCCCUCACUACUCCUGGCCAACAGUAGCUCUCCAGCUCAUCUCCCUGUUUCCUCUCACCCAGUUUGUUCUCUCGCUGCAGCCAGCGUGAGCUUUUAAAACCGCU